rnacentral:rRNA from 1 species
GACGAACGCUGGCGGCGUGCUUAACACAUGCAAGUCGAACGAAGUGGCGAACGGGUGAGUAACGCGUAAUUAACCUGCCCUUCAGAGGGGGAAAACAGUUGGAAACGACUGCUAAUACCGCAUACUGAAGGAGGGGAUUGCGGCUUAUUAGCUAGUUGGAGGGGUAACGGCCCACCAAGGCGAUGAUCAGUAGCCUGUCUUAGAGUAUGAACGGCCCCAUUGGGACUGAGACACCGCCCAGACUCCUACGGGAGGCAGCAGUGGGUAAUCUUCCGCAAUGGACGAAAGUCUGACUGAGCCACUCCGCGUUAGUGAUUACUGCCUUCGGGUUGUAAAGCUCUGUUAAUCGGGACGCGGUACCGGAAUAGAAAGCCACGGCUAACUACGUGCCAGCAGCCGCGGUAAUAC